GGCCUAAUCGCCCUGACAAAACGUUUUCAGGAAAGCAGUUUUCAUGAGCUAGUCAGGAGGCCUAAUCGCCCUGACAAAAUGUUUUCAGGAAGUUAGUCAGGAGGCCUAAUCGCCCUGACAAAAUGUUUUCAUGAGCUAGUCAGGAGGCCUAAUCGCCCUGACAAAACGUUUUCAGAAAUCAGUCAGGAGGCCUAAUCGCCCUGACAAAUAUGUUUUCAGAAAGUUAAGUACAAAAGAAAUUUUACAAGUGAGUCAGUUAGGAAGAGGGCUAUAGGUGACAACUUCUUCCUUGAUGUGUAUUAUUGUAAUGUGAAGUAUGACAUAAGAGCAUGUGUUUUAAUGAAUGGUUUUUAUGGAUUCCACUCACUGGGC
rnacentral:lncRNA from 1 species